AGUGAACGCUGGCGGUAGGCCUAACACAUGCAAGUCGAACGGCAGCACAGUAAGAGCUUGCUCUUACGGGUGGCGAGUGGCGGACGGGUGAGGAAUACAUCGGAAUCUACUUUUUCGUGGGGGAUAACGUAGGGAGACUUACGCUAAUACCGCAUACGACAUACGGGUGAAAGCAGGGGAUCUUCGGACCUUGCGCGUUUGAAUGAGCCGAUGUCGGAUUAGCUAGUUGGCGGGGUAAAGGCCCACCAAGGCGACGAUCCGUAGCUGGUCUGAGAGGAUGAUCAGCCACACUGGAACUGAGACACGGUCCAGACUCCUACGGGAGGCAGCAGUGGGGAAUAUUGGACAAUGGGCGCAAGCCUGAUCCAGCCAUACCGCGUGGGUGAAGAAGGCCUUCGGGUUGUAAAGCCCUUUUGUUGGGAAAGAAAAGCAGCAGGUUAAUACCCCGCUGUUCUGACGGUACCCAAAGAAUAAGCACCGGCUAACUUCGUG
rnacentral:rRNA from 1 species